UACGUAGGGUGCGAGCGUUGUCCGGAAUUAUUGGGCGUAAAGGGCUCGUAGGCGGUUUGUCACGUCGGGAGUGAAAACUCGGGGCUUAACCCCGAGCCUGCUUCCGAUACGGGCUGACUAGAGGUAUGCAGGGGAGAACGGAAUUCCUGGUGUAGCGGUGAAAUGCGCAGAUAUCAGGAGGAACACCGGUGGCGAAGGCGGCAUCCUGGACCAACACUGACGCUGAGGAGCGAAAGCCAGGGGAGCAAACGGG
rnacentral:rRNA from 1 species